rnacentral:rRNA from 1 species
AUGGGAAAUCGUUCGAUCGGUAGGUGCUUGUCGGGAGUCCUCGAUCAUCUUGUUUGUGUUCAGGCCUGGGAGCGCGAAGCCGCGGCGCUGCGGGAGCAGCUGGAGGGGGCGAAGAACGAGCUCGCCGCGAAGGUGGCGGAGCUGGAGGAGACCAAAGCAGAGCUCGCCGCAGCGAAGCAAGCAGCGGAGGCGGAGGUGGUGAAGACGAAGGCCCAGCUCGCCGCGUCUCUGACGGAUGUGGUGAAGACGAAGGCCGAGCUCGCCGCCGCCAAGCGAGAGGCAGAGGCGGAGGCGGUGAAGAUGAAGGCCGAACUCGCCGCGGCCGUGGCGGAGGCGGUGAAGACGAAGGCCGAGAUGGCCGCCGCGAAGCGUGCCACGGAGACAGAGACGGCUAAGGCGAACGCUGAACUCGCCGCGGCGAACCGGGCCGUGGAGGCGGAGCUGGUGAAGGCGAAGGCCAAGCUCGCCGUGGCGGAGGCGGAGCUGGUGAAGGCGAAGGCCAAGCUCGCCGCGGCGGAGGCGGAGCUGGAGAGCGCCAAGGCGGCGGCGGCGGUGCAGGAGCUUCUGGCCUCCGAAGAGAACGCCCGGCGGCGCGCGGAGCUCGCGCUCGUUGAUCGUUUUCCUCCUCUAUGCAACCGGGAGAUCAUCAAAUUUUGUAGCCUCGGAUUCGUGAGAUACACAAUGCAGCAGACAUUGCUAUGUGGCUUCGUUGUUUCAUGCUCAGGAGACAAUCGAGUACAGUACCGUGGGCAAACGAAACAAAAAUGUUUUGCUUGA